GACGAAGGGGGCUAGCGUUGUUCGGAAUUACUGGGCGUAAAGCGAGUGUAGGUGGUUGUCCGAGUUGGAUGUGAAAGCCUUGAGCUCAACUCAAGAAAUGCAUUCAGUACUGGGCGGCUAGAGGACCGGAGAGGAUAGUGGAAUUCCCAGUGUAGUGGUGAAAUACGUAGAGAUUGGGAAGAACACCAGUGGCGAAGGCGGCUAUCUGGACGGUUUCUGACACUAAGACUCGAAAGCGUGGGGAGCAAACAGG
rnacentral:rRNA from 1 species